rnacentral:lncRNA from 1 species
UUUGGUCAUAAGUCGCACUUCUACCCUAGGCAACAUGUACGCUACUAUGCGCCUAUCUUAUCUUAAUGAAUGUGUUAGUAUUUUCAACACUUGUUUGAUUGCACUUGCACUAUACCAUCCCCUUAGGCACUCCCCUCUAUGCUAAUUUCCCUCUCCCCCAUCUCGUCAAUUGAAGACCCGCAAGACAAGAUACACCAAGGACCC